rnacentral:rRNA from 1 species
GGGUCAGUAGGUUGGUCGUGCCACCGGUACGUACUGGUCUCACUGAUUCCUCCUUCCUGAAGAACCGUAAUGCCAUUAAUUUGGUGUUGCGGGGAAACAGGACUGUUACUUUGAAAAAAUUAGGGUGUUUAAAGCAAGCUAACACUUGAAUACAUUAGCAUGGAAUAAUGAAAUAGGACGAUCGAUCCUAUUUUGUUGGUUUCUAGGAUUGACGUA